CCUACGGGGGGCAGCAGUCGAGAAUUAUUCACAAUGGGGGAAACCCUGAUGGUGCGACGCCGCGUGGGGGAAUGAAGUUCUUCGGAUUGUAAACCCCUGUCAUGUGGGAGCAAAUUAAAAAGAUAGUACCACAAGAGGAAGAGACGGCUAACUCUGUGCCAGCAGCCCCGGUACUACAGAGGUCUCAAGCGUUGUUCGGAAUCACUGGGCGUAAAGCGUGCGUAGGCUGUUUCGUAAGUCGUGUGUGAAAGGCGCGGGCUCAACCCGCGGACGGCACAUGAGACUGCGAGACUAGAGUAAUGGAGGGGGAACCGGAAUGCUCGGUGUAGCAGUGAAAUGCGUAGAUAUCGAGAGGAACACUCGUGGCGAAGGCGGGUUCCUGGACAUUAACUGACGCUGAGGCACGAAGGCCAGGGGAGCGAAAGGGAUUAGAUACCCCAGUAGUC
rnacentral:rRNA from 1 species